UGAUAGAGGAAAACCUUUUUUGUUUGCAACACAAAAAUAAUUCUAUCAA
rnacentral:tRNA from 1 species